rnacentral:piRNA from 1 species
AUCAGCCUUUAUCUGCCCACUGCUGGAC